GCAAGUAAUCCAUUAAUCCUGAUGAUCUCUCUCCCUCUUCCUCUUCUCACUGAACCUGUGAGGGCCACUUGUUGACAACUGUGGAAGAAACUUGUGUCACUCUGGAAAUAGUUACAUGGGCCUGAAGUGCCACAGACGUGGGCAGCUAAUGCCAGAAAUCUGGUGAUGCUAAGCUGAUGGCUGAUUUCUACAAAUACAAGGCCAUAAGCCUGACCCCUGCUGCUUAAUACAAGAGAAAAUAAGCUCUCUUGGGAAUCUGGUGGGAAUCACCAUCUCUUCCAGUGAAACUACAUUUACCCAGAGAGAUCCAUCAGGGAUGUACCAGUUAAAAUGCUUUCAGACUGAGGGAACAAAAACUCAAUUCAAACAGUACUUAGUAACAGGAAACUCAAUUCAAACAUAAUUGAAAAAGAGGAUUGGUAGAGUGGUGAUUAAGUGUGAGUCAUUCACAGCUCCAAAUCUGGUUUUCUACAGUUCUCUCCACUGCUCAACUAUGAGCCCCAUCCCGCACCUCUCACACUCCCCCAUGUCCCCCACACACCCCCUACCCAUGUGUAUGUGCCCACAUACGCACAGGUGUCAGCUUCAUUCCAGGCCUCACAACUCUGCACAAGAUCUUAAAAAAAAAAGGGGACCAUCUUAAAAUUUAGGACAUUUAUUUCCCAGAAGCCUCCCAGAAUUUUUACACUUGCCUUCCACUGGGUUACAUGGCUUUUCCAAAUCCAAAUUCUAUGGCUACAAAAAUGACAUGCAUUGAUGGGUUUAGGCCUAUGUUCCCUAAACAAUCACUGACAAGAAAUCUAAUAAUUGGCUUUUGACAAGUUAGAUCAAUUCUGAAGUAGAGUAGAUUCAGCUUCCCCAGGAGUAUUAGGGUGGUAUGGGAGGAAAAGUGGAUAUCUGUACAAAAAUCUGGGUACUACUGGGAAUGGAUAUUAAUAUUACAGGAAGCCUAUGAAAGAAUCACCAGCUUUGAUGAGUGGGGCUAAGGAAAUUCAGUGCAUUUGGAAGUAAGAAGUACUUGCAUAGAUACUUGGAUAGAUUUGGAUAGAUUUUUUUUUUUUUUCCUGAGACCAAGUCUCGCUCUGUCACCCAGGCUGGAGUGCAAACGCGCGAUCUUGGCUCACUGCAACCUCCGCCUCCCAGGUUCAAGCAAUUCCCCUGCCUCAGCCUCCUGAGUAGCUGGGAUUACAGGCACGCGUGACCACGCCCAGCUAAUUUUUGUAAUUUUAGUAGAGGCAGGAUUUCACCAUGUUGGUCAGGCUGGUCUUGAACUCCUGACCCCAUGAUCCGCCCACCUUGGCCUCCCAAAGUGCUGGGAUUACAGGCGUGAGCCACCGCGCCCAGCAUAGACAGAUAUUUUUUUAAAACCUGGUAAUGAAGUGGCAUUGUUGUCUGGAGUAAAUACCCGAGAUUGGUUGUGUCACAGCUAUGGAAAACUAGGACAUGGACACACAAAGAGGUUCAGAGCAGAAGUUGAAUAGGCAAAAGAAAAAGAAGAGCUCUCUGCAGCAGAGAGGGGUCCCAGAGAAAUGGGUUGCUGGUUCCACCGUGGAAUGCAAGGGAUUUUAUAGAUGACCUUAAGGAGGCAGUGUGUCAUUUACAUAGGGCACAAAAGAUUGGUUGGACCAGGUGUGUCAUUUGCAUACAGCUCAAAAAACUGGUUAGGGCUAGGUAUGCCAUUUGUAUAGGCACAAAAAGAUGGCCACCCCCACCCUAAUCUUUUAUUUUGCAGAUGGGUUCUCUACCUGGCCAGUGCCAUGUUGCCUGUUUCUUUACUGUAACUGUGGUGACAAAGAAAAGGGAAGAUGGAGCCUCCAUGUUGAACAUACCUGGCCCCCAGCACUAACUCCCUCUCUGGAUAUCUGGAACAAGGAGGACCUUAAACUUAACAAUAAAGCCAAUGAUGGUUCUACCAGUCUCCCCAAAGCCUCAAGUUUAAAAGCCAUAUGAACUGGCUGAUAGUGGAAAAUGGAAGCCAUGAGGUUGAAAAGUGAAUCCUCAAAGGAAAAAUGGAAACUACUCUUGAACUUGUUGGGAUUUGAAAUUUCCUCAGGAAAUCAGAUUAGAGUACUACCUGGUGAAGCCUGGAGGACCUACCAAGAAAAGCAAACUUGGAUCUUUGCAAGGUUAGAAGAACGAAUGGGAUCCAAGAAAAAGACUGGUCAUAUUCAACGGCUAAGAGCGUUGGAGAAGGCCUGUGGAGUCUCAGCAGGUCAGGUCCAUGACUCAUGAGUAGACACCUGUGUUUCUACUGCCUGGUGCCAUAAUCAUAAACAAGAGUAAUCAGCAAAUGCCUUUCCUUUCUCCUGCUGAUGUUUUGCCCGUACUCAGACCCCUUGACUUCUUAGCUUCUACCCAAAGUGAGCUUGUCAUCAAAGUUCUCCAAAAAUCUGCAGUGUUCUCUUGAGCAAAUCUGCUUCCAAGACUAUAGCGCUCUGAUGCAUUGAGAUGACAGCAAGCGGCAUUUUUCAGUCCUGUUACCCAUAUGGCUGCUACCACUGCAUCCUGUUAAAUAAUGUCUUCAACCCAAGAAACCUGCUUCCUAGGGAAGUUUCUCUCUCUCUGCAUUUGUUCCCACUAGAGAAUGACCAUCACCAGAUUCCUGAACUGAAAAUGCUGUUGACACUUUGGAAACUCGGGCCUCUAUUAAUAGGGUGACCAACUAUCCUGGUUUACCUUGAGUACAGGAUUUUCAAUGCUAAAACCAGAAAAACCAGGAUGGUUGGUCAUCUGCCUCAGACCUAAUAAAUACCAGUCAAUAAUUCAGCCAUGAGCUUUCUUAAGACACUGUCUUUUCUUGACUGUUGAAUAGUCUAGGACUUGAGUAGCAGCUCUUUCUGCUACUGGACACUUGUUUUACUACCCUAUUUCUCUAGAUUUUAUUUUGUGGCUAAUAAUUAAGACAUAAAAUCAUGGGUUCUGGUUAUGCCAAAGCACUCACUCUUCAAAAGUUUCCAUCCAGAGUUGGAUAAUCCCACACAGAAGGUGUUCUUUCAACAGACCAGCAUCCAAUAGACCCAAUGCAGCAUUUUUCUUCCUGGUUCCACAUUAAUACAUCCUAUCUCUGCUAUGCUUAGGUCCCUGAUUUAUAAAUAUUUCAGACAUAUUUUCUCAGGACACAGGGAGUACUUAAACUUCCACAUAGCAGAGAUACGACAUACAAUAAGCUGUUAUCUGGAAACUCCUAGUGAUGCUUUGAGUACUUUACAGUAAUCUUUCUGGUCUUCCUCUCAACCCCAUUAAGUUUUUCUGUAACUAGCUGGUGUAUCUGUCUCCAUCUUUAAGGAAUAAGUCCCUAUUUGCUCAUGCUAUAAUCUCCCUCAUGCUCUCCGUCCCUCCUUCCCUCUCCUUCUCUCUUUCUGUCUCUCUCUCUCUCCACCCUGAUUGUGAGAUGCUACACCUUAAUAGUUUUCUAUACCUAGAUCCCUUUUGAAGGAGUAAUUUCAGCCAUCACUGAAAUCUAUGCUUUUUUAUCUUGUUAGAUUUAUUUAGGACCUAAUGACUGUUUCUGAGCUAAUAAUAACGCAAUCAGCUCAUAUUUUUCUGAUACUCUAAGAGCAAUUACAUCUAGUUGCAUCACCUUUUCCUUUUUUAUUCAUGUAUCUUAGGCUUCUCAAGAUAUGAGACUAGCACUUGAGCCUGAGAUAAGCCUUAAGAAUUCCAGGAUAGUCUCUCCAUAGUUCCCUUUCUUGGAUAAAGUCAUUUCAAAACAUCUUAGUGGAUCAGAUUUGGAGCAGCCUACUUACACUGGUGAAUACCACAACUAAUAAAUAAUUGUUCUGCACCCCACCCACAUCUAAAGGAUUCAGGGUGUCUUUUACAGAUAUAGGACUCUCCUUUCUCUGUUUCUCUUCUCUCUCUUCUCCUUGAUUAAAGCUUUGCUUCAGCUGUCCCUGCUCACUACGGCACUGCACCUCACCAGCAUCUUCAUGGCCCUCACAUGGCUCAUGUGCAUAUCCUAACUCUGAUACUAAGGGAGGAGACCACCCCUCAUAUUGUCUUAUGCCCAAUUUCUGCCUCCAAAGAAAGAAGAAGUAAAAACUAAAAGGCAGAAAUGAAAUCCACAAGCAGACAGCCCGGCGCCACACCCUGGGCCUGGUAGUUAAAGAUCGACCCCUGACCUAAUCGGUUAUUUGCAUAAGAAAAGCACUGUGAAGAUCCCUGUCCUGUUCUGUUCCAUUCUAAUUACCGGUGUAUGCAGCCCCCAGUCAUGUACCCCUGCUUGCUCAAUCGAUCACGACCCUCUCACGUGGACCCCCUUAGAGUUGUGGGCCCUUAAAAGGGACAGGAAUUGCUCACUCGGGGAGCUUGGUUGUUGGAGAUGUGAGUCUUGCUAAAGCUCCCAGCCGAAUAAAGCCCUUCCUUCUUAACUCGGUGUCUGAGAGGUUUAGUCUGCAGCUUGUCCUGCUCUAAUACCUGUGUAGUUCAAGAAUAAUCUACAGCACAUUACACCCAAGGCUCUCACUUUGGCUAUAGUUGUGUCUUUACUGAGCCAUCCCCCAACCCCGCCCACAGUGGCAUCUGGCUAAGGCCUACCCUUUUGAAUAUUAAGGACACCCACAUGCACCUUGACAGAGACAUUUUGGCUGAAGGCAGGCAAGACCCAUCUACUGUUCCCCUAAGGUCAGCCCAGAGCCCUGCCUCUAUUAAAAACAGAUCCUUACCUGUGGAUAAGGUAACCUGUGGGUAACAGAUCCUUACCCGAGACUUGUGGGGCCCCAUCAAGGUGAAAGUCCCACCUGGGCCCGGGCAUGGGGAGUCAUGCCUGUAAUCCCAACACUUUGGGAGGCCAAGGAGGGUGGAUCACCUGAGAUCAGGAGUUCGAGACCAACCUGACCAAUACGGUGAAACCCCGUCUCUAUUAAAAAUACAAAAAUUAGGUGUGAUGGUGCACACGUGUAGUCCCAGCUACUUGGGAGGCUGAGGCAGGAGAACUGCUUGAACCCAGGA
rnacentral:lncRNA from 10 species